UCCCGGGUUUGAAAUUUGCCAGCAUUUGCAGCUCUUGCAAGUACCUGAUUAUCUGUCAGAAGGGUGGACCGAUAAAACCUGUAACUUUGGACUCUACCUGAAGCCCUUUCAUUAUAGCUUGAGCAGCUUGAUGCACCUGAGUUGGAUGUCCCUAUUUUCUUCCAAAAUGUUUGUCAUUUCCCGCCUUCUAUAUACACCAGAAAAAGUCAUUAGAUUGCAUAUGGAAGCAUAGUGGUGUCCUGAACUUAAGAUUGCUUGAAUAAUAUUAGGAAUUGAUCUGUAAUGUUGCACAAAGUAAUCAGACCUAAGAAACCAUGGUUCUAAGAACUAAGCAGCUUUAGCAAAUGGGCAUGAGAAAAAUAAAUGAAUGUCAUCUUCCUCCGCCUCACACAUGGAGCAGUAUUUGGAGAUGUGUCUGGCAUACAUACCAGCCCGCAUGCCUGUUGGAACUGCUCUCUCAAGAAGCCUCCAAGCAAACGUCUGAAUUCUCAGAGCAAUGCUAUUGUCUUUCCAAACCUAGCAAAAAAGUGUUUUUACAAGAGUAAACACCUGCCUUCGUUGAGGAGCUCAUUCUUGAUGAAGAACCUGUACACAUAGCUUGUAUGCACUCUUAGUAGUGCACUUACCUGUUGGGGUGUGUUUCCAACACAUGAUAUCUUUACCCUCCGUUUGAAUUAUGGGGGUUUGGAGAAUAAUGCUUGCUGCCUCAGCAUCAAACAGAGAGUAAAUAAGAUUUUCAUUCCAAGCUUUAUUGUUAGGUUUCCAUAGAUCUUUAAGAUUGGAAGGAUAAAUGUAAGGCUGAUGCUGAAUUAUGAGAUGAUCAUAAAUAGAGCUCCAAAUAGGACACCAUGGGGAACUCCAUAUCGACAACUGAUGAGAUAUAAGGUACCUCACCUUAGUACGAAUAAUAAGAAAAGGAGGCAUAUGGACAUGGAAACAUUCUUUCCACCACAUGUUCAUUCACAAACUGACUAUGAACAAUGCCAUGUUUGCCUCUGGGCCCAGUUUCCAUCUCCACCUUAGAUGAGUCCCCAUCACUUUACCUCAUUAAGAGUUCUUUUCCUACGUACCUCAAAUACAUACAACAGCCACACGUCAAGGUUGCAUUAUUGUCAUUCCAUCUCUUCUUCCAUGAGCCCUUCCACUUCAGCUCUUUUGUUAUUGUGACAACAGUCUGCUCCAAAUCUGCCAAUCUUUCCAUCCGGCUCCAAAUACGCCCAUUUUUCGCCAAAUCUGUCAAUUUGUCCUACAAAGUUUGUACUUUCAGCCUAAGAAUUUUCAUUGUUCGGAAUGAGGAGGGUUUUCAGAGUUCACUUCUCUCAAAGAGAGCACAACACAUAUCAAUACAGAUUUGUGAUGAACAAGGCUCAGUGUUAUUUAUAGCAAUAAAUACCAACACAUGGUAAGUUAUUCAAUGGAGUAUCUAAGUUACUGUGUUUGGCAAAAAAAGGUCUAACGUGACUAUGUUAAAGUGAAUCCCUAAAUUAACAAAUGCAAGAGGAAAAUAUAACUACUACGAGUGCAUGGGGUGUGCACAUGUUCCUAGAUAAUCAAUUUGACCAAUAUAUUAUAUGCCAACAAAGCUAUGUCCUUAGAAAAUUUAUUUGAAUUCAAAUUUAUUCGAAGCCUCAUUCACCAAUCUCAACGGCAUUAUAUUGAUUUUAAAAAUAGAUGGUUCUGCAACAUACCUUUACAAAAUAGUCAUAAGUAGAUUUUAAAAAUAGUGACAAUCCGACAUGGUACAAGGCCAAACAAGAUACUCCUGGUAGCCGACCACCGCAACGACCUUCUUUCG
rnacentral:lncRNA from 1 species